AGUUUGAUCCUGGCUCAGGAUGAACGCUAGCGGCAGGCUUAACACAUGCAAGUCGAGGGGCAGCGGGGAGUAGCAAUACUCCGCCGGCGACCGGCGCACGGGUGCGUAACGCGUAUGCAACCUACCUUUAACAGGGGCAUAACACUGAGAAAUUGGUACUAAUUCCCCAUAACAUUCGAGAAGGCAUCUUGGUGGGGUUAAACAACUCCCGGGGGAUUAAAAAGAUGGCCCUCCGUUUUUAUUUAAGUUAUGUUGGAGAGGUAACCCGCCUCCACAAAGGCCAAACUAUACAUGGGGGGGCGUUGGAGUGUUCACCCCCCCCCCCUUUUGUUAAUGAGCACCGGGCCCAAACUUCCUUACGGGGGGCCACCAGUGAGGAAUUUUGUGUCAAAUGGCCGCAAUGUUUGACCCAACCUAUCCCGCGUCCAGGAAAACAACUUCUUUGGAGUUGAAAACUGCUUUUGUACUAGGGUAAACGCUCCUAACGUGUAGGAGUCUGAAAAGUAUAGUACGAAUAAGGAUCGGCUAACUCCGUGCCAGCAGCCGCGGUAAUACGGAGGAUCCAAGCGUUAUCCGGAUUUAUUGGGUUUAAAGGGUGCGUAGGCGGUUUGAUAAGUUAGAGGUGAAAUACCGGGGCUCAACUCCGGAACUGCCUCUAAUACUGUUGAACUAGAGAGUAGUUGCGGUAGGCGGAAUGUAUGGUGUAGCGGUGAAAUGCUUAGAGAUCAUACAGAACACCGAUUGCGAAGGCAGCUUACCAAACUAUAUCUGACGUUGAGGCACGAAAGCGUGGGGAGCAAACAGGAUUAGAUACCCUGGUAGUCCACGCAGUAAACGAUGAUAACUCGUUGUCGGCGAUACACAGUCGGUGACUAAGCGAAAGCGAUAAGUUAUCCACCUGGGGAGUACGUUCGCAAGAAUGAAACUCAAAGGAAUUGACGGGGGCCCGCACAAGCGGAGGAACAUGUGGUUUAAUUCGAUGAUACGCGAGGAACCUUACCCGGGCUUGAAAGUUAGUGACGAUUCUGGAAACAGGAUUUCCCUUCGGGGCACGAAACUAGGUGCUGCAUGGUUGUCGUCAGCUCGUGCCGUGAGGUGUCGGGUUAAGUCCCAUAACGAGCGCAACCCCUACCGUUAGUUGCCAUCAGGUCAAGCUGGGCACUCUGGCGGGACUGCCGGUGUAAGCCGAGAGGAAGGUGGGGAUGACGUCAAAUCAGCACGGCCCUUACGUCCGGGGCUACACACGUGUUACAAUGGUAGGUACAGAGGGCCGCUACCCCGUGAGGGGAUGCCAAUCUCGAAAGCCUAUCUCAGUUCGGAUCGGAGGCUGAAACCCGCCUCCGUGAAGUUGGAUUCGCUAGUAAUCGCGCAUCAGCCAUGGCGCGGUGAAUACGUUCCCGGGCCUUGCACACACCGCCCGUC
rnacentral:rRNA from 1 species